rnacentral:tRNA from 1 species
GCCCCUUUAGCUCAGCUGGUUAGAGCAGUUGUUUCGUAAACAACAGGUCGUCGGUUCAAAUCCGAUGAGGGGCU